CGAUGGUAUAAAAUGCUCUUUGAUGAUCUGUGCUCUGCAGUAAACUGAUCUAGUUAGAUAAAAUGACUGUUUUGUUAAAAUACAAAAUAAUAUUUUCUAAACUAUGUAUUUCAUUGUUUUAUCUGCCCCUGAAACAAAACCAGCACUGCCCCAAAACUCUUCUGUGGUGACUAGAGAAGGUUCUUAUUUCUUCAUUUGGCAGUAGAUGCUUUGAGUCAGUCUUGUGUCAAAUUCAAAACUACCUACUCCACGCAGUCUACACUUCCCCAAAAUCACCCCCUCACUGGAAGCCAGCUUGGCUUCUGUAUCAUCAUACUCCAGAGAUUCCCACCUGUGUGCUUUGGCUCAGGUGGUUCUCCCAACCAGCAGUGUUUAUGUCAGAGGAACAGAACUGACAGAAAAUAUAUAUUAUAAUUAUAAUUAUGCAAGGGGCUUAUUAGGUGUCCUUAUAGGAAAAGGCAGGAGAGACCAUGAUGCUGAUCAGCUUCUUGAAAAGCUGGGUGGUCAAGUAGCCACUCAGAUCCAGAAGAUGGAAGUCGCAGAAUAGGAGGGGUCAAGGAAGAACCACCAGUCCAAGGUCGAAGGUCUGGAAGCUCGGUGGAGAGUUGCAGGUGCGCGUCUACACUGGAGGGCCAAGGAAACUGACGAUGUGGAAAGUGAGGUCCAAAGGCAAUGACGGAAGAGGAUGCCGCUGCUCAGGAGACGGGCGCUCUUCUAAGUGGGCACGCUUCCUUCUUCUCUCCUGGUUCUGUUCCAUCCGGGCUACAUGCCUGCUGGCUGGUGCAUCGCGCGACCGAGGUGGGAUUUCGCCCUCAGUUUGCUGAUCUACGUGUGCGCUCCAGGCAAGCACAAGCUCAUGCUGAGAUGGAGUGUAUGACCUCUGAGUGUUACAAAAUAUACUAAACAGAUCAGGAUGAAUGACGAAGUGCAUCUCAGGAAAAAAGACUUUAUGACUUAUUUGCUGGCAGAGUGGUUAUGAUGAGGCCUCUUGCUUAGCCUGCCAACAGAAGUCUCAUUUCUUAGGAGAACAGAGUACUGUAGGUUGGCCUCCUGAGAGCAAGCCUGCUGACUUUUACCAUUUAAUAAA
rnacentral:lncRNA from 1 species